AGCCUACAGAUCUUUGUUUUUAGGUGCCGCCUGCCCAUUGAUAGUUUUCUUUUUACGGCCCGGGUAUCCUGACCGUGCACAGGUAGCAUAAUCAUUUGUCUUGUAAUUUAAGGGUAGAAUGAAUGGUUAAACUAAAAAGCCUCUGUCCCCCCUUUUCUAAAAAAUUAUAACUGAAAGUAAAAAUGCUUUCAUUCUAAAAAAAGACAAGAAGACCCUAUAGAGCUUAAUUUUUAAAAAAUAUAAAAUUUUGCUGGGGCGGCAAGAAUAAUUUAUAAACUCUUAUUCUAUAUUAGCAUUCUAUAAAUCUUAAGAUCCUUCUUUGAUAAUAAGAAAAAGCUACCUUAGGGAUAACAGACUACUUUUAAUUUAGAGUUCAUAUCGCAAUUAAAGAUUGGCACUUGGCUGUUGGCUUAGGAUCCUUUGUUUUUGCAUCGCACAAGAAAAGUGGUUUGUGGAACCAUUAAACUCCU
rnacentral:rRNA from 1 species